GUCGAGGGGCAACGGGGAUGUUAGCUUGCUAAUAUCUGCCGGCGACCUUCGCACGGGUGAGUAACGCGUAUGCGACCUGCCCGUCACAGGGGGAUAAUCCGGAGAAAUCCGGUCUAAUACCGCAUAAUAUCGUGAAGCUGCAUGGUUUUGCGAUUAAAGGAGCGAUCCGGUGACGGAUGGGCAUGCGUGACAUUAGCUAGUCGGCGGGGUAACGGCCCACCGAGGCGCGAUGUCUAGGGGUUCUGAGAGGAAGGUCCCCCACACUGGUACUGAGACACGGACCAGACUCCUACGGGAGGCAGCAGUGAGGAAUAUUGGUCAAUGGGCUUACGCCUGAACCAGCCAAGUCGCGUGAGGGAAGACUGCCCUAUGGGUUGUAAACCUCUUUUGUCAGGGAGCAACGCCGGCUACGUGUAGCCGGACUGAGAGUACCUGAAGAAAAAGCAUCGGCUAACUCCGUGCCAGCAGCCGCGGUAAUACGGAGGAUGCGAGCGUUAUCCGGAUUUAUUGGGUUUAAAGGGUGCGUAGGCGGAAUGCCAAGUCAGCGGUAAAAUCGCGGGGCUCAACCUCGCUCCGCCGUUGAAACUGGCGUUCUUGAGUGGGCGAGAAGUAUGCGGAAUGCGUGGUGUAGCGGUGAAAUGCAUAGAUAUCACGCAGAACUCCGAUUGCGAAGGCAGCAUACC
rnacentral:rRNA from 1 species